GGACUGUAACUUCAGGGAGUCAAGGUUUGGGUGGUGGUGUAGGGAAGUACUUGAAAGCAAGGAAUUCGCAGGUUAAGUCUACUACUGCUGUUGACAGCAGUCUACUCGCUGUUUCUGUGACAAAGAAAAGAAAAGCAGGUGUCUCAACAGGAGAAUAUAAAGAUAUUUCUUCGUGGUAAGAGUUGCAAUAAAUGCUAACCUCCCUAGACAACUGAAUUUGCUUGAUGGGUUUAGCCAACGUUGAUACAGUUUAGCUGCAAGGAGGAUAAUGGAUGACUUGAACCCUGUAAAUGCAGAAAGUCUGUAUUUUAUGGUGUAUAAAUGAUGCAAUUGAGAGUAUUUGUACAGAAUCUAUAGUAGCAAAGUUUAUAAAGACCUUGGUACUUGAGGCGUUUAUUUUAGUUUGAUGUUCCCAGUUUUGAUGGGUUUUAGGAACUUUUGGGUGGAGUCCUGAUAAUGUAUUUCUUGCUUCCCAUUUUUAGUUGCUGAGGUUGAUUUAAUUGGAUGGGAAGUAUAAAUGGGGGAUCUGUGGAAACAGUUGUGUGUUUAGUAGCUUGGAUCUGGAGUAUCUUGAAAAAUGUAGCGGCGGUCUGGCCAUCAUGGAGCUGGAAGCAUCAUGAAGCACACAGCG
rnacentral:lncRNA from 1 species